AAUAUUUUAUUACUAGAAUUUAGGAUGAAGAUUUUGCCUUGGAGAAUGGAGAGGGAUUCUUCUGUCUUCUUUUCUUUCUUCUUGUUUGAUGAUGAGACAGAGGUGUAAAAAAAAGAAGGCUAUGAUGUUUGUGUUUUGUGGGUUUUGAUUUUGACAUUUGUUGUUUCCAAUAAAAGUUGGGGGAUAUAAAUACCACGGAUAGCUUAUUUGGGUUUUAUAGUUAUCAAGAGGUUUUACUUUUACUCAAAUGAGAAAAGUAUAAAGGAUUUUUAAAAAGUUAAAUAUACCUUUAAUUUAAUAGUCGUGAAAAAUGAUUUGAGAAUCAUGAGAUUUGGAUACAAAGAUGAACAAAAAAAAUUGAGUGAUAGGGUGAGAGUUUUAAGAGAUAGCGGAUAACACAUGUAAUUAGUCCAAAAGAAUUGUUGGCUUCAAUUGCACCAUUGUUCCUUCGGAAGCAAUCUUCAUCCUUUUUUUCUGGGCUAUGGGUUUUGACUUAUUUGUUUGUUACUUUUGCAAAUCAACUUAUUGGUGAAAAAGCGGAGAUUAAGUUAGAGAAAGAGGGAAGAGGUUGUAA